rnacentral:tRNA from 1 species
GGCAGUGUAGCAUAGUGGUAAUGAGCAGGGUUCAUAACCGAAAGGCUGCUGGUUCGACUCCCAGCUGGGGCACUGCUG